rnacentral:sRNA from 1 species
ACUCAUGGUGAGUGUGCCCGGGGGGGGCGU